GAUGAACGCUGACAGAAUGCUUAACACAUGCAAGUCUUUGGCGAAGCUGUGCUUGCACAGCCUAGCCAAGGCGGACGGGUGAGUAACGCGUAAGGGACUUGCCCUGCAGUCAGGGAUAACAGACGGAAACGACUGAUAAGACCUGGUAAAGUCAGGCGGACUCAUGUCCAGCCUGAUGAAAAGGAAUGCUGCAGGAGAGCCUUGCGUCCUAUUAGCUUGUUGGUGGGGUAACGGCCCACCAAGGCGAUGAUAGGUAGCCGGCCUGAGAGGGUGGACGGCCACAAGGGGACUGAGAUACGGCCCUUACUCCUACGGGAGGCAGCAGUGGGGAAUAUUGGACAAUGGGGGCAACCCUGAUCCAGCAAUUCUGUGUGCACGAUGAAGGUCUUCGGAUUGUAAAGUGCUUUCAGCAGGGAAGAAAAAAAUGACGGUACCUGCAGAAGAAGCGACGGCUAAAUACGUGCCAGCAGCCGCGGUAAUACGUAUGUCGCGAGCGUUAUCCGGAAUUAUUGGGCAUAAAGGGCAUCUAGGCGGCCCUGUAAGUCUAGGGUGAAAACCUGCGGCUCAACCGCAGGCCUGCCCCGGAAACUACAGGGCUAGAGUGCUGGAGAGGUGGACGGAACUGCACGAGUAGAGGUGAAAUUCGUAGAUAUGUGCAGGAAUGCCGAUGAUGAAGAUAGUUCACUGGACGGUAACUGACGCUGAAGUGCGAAAGCUAGGGGAGCAAACAGG
rnacentral:rRNA from 1 species